UACAGAGGUCCCGAGCGUUGUUCGGAUUCAUUGGGCGUAAAGGGUGCGUAGGCGGUUUGCUAAGUUUGAUGUGAAAUUCCAGGGCUCAACCCUGGCAUGGCAUUGAAUACUGGCGGACUAGAGUACUGGAGAGGAAACUGGAAUUUACGGUGUAGCAGUGAAAUGCGUAGAGAUCGUAAGGAAGACCAGUGGCGAAAGCGAGUUUCUGGACAGUAACUGACGCUGAGGCACGAAGGCCAGGGGAGCAAACGGG
rnacentral:rRNA from 1 species